CCUACGGGAGGCUGCAGUGGGGAAUAUUGGACAAUGGGCGAAAGCCUGAUCCAGCCAUGCCGCGUGUGUGAAGAAGGCCUUCGGGUUGUAAAGCACUUUCAGUGGGGAAGAAAGCCUUGGGGCUAAUACCCUCGAGGAAGGACAUCACCCACAGAAGAAGCACCGGCUAACUCCGUGCCAGCAGCCGCGGUAAUACGGAGGGUGCGAGCGUUAAUCGGAAUUACUGGGCGUAAAGCGCGCGUAGGCGGUCUGAUAAGCCGGUUGUGAAAGCCCCGGGCUCAACCUGGGAACGGCAUCCGGAACUGUCAGGCUAGAGCGCCGGAGAGGAAGGUAGAAUUCCCGGUGUAGCGGUGAAAUGCGUAGAGAUCGGGAGGAAUACCAGUGGCGAAGGCGGCCUUCUGGACUGACACUGACGCUGAGGUGCGAAAGCGUGGGUAGCAAACAGGAUUAGAUACCCUUGUAGUC
rnacentral:rRNA from 1 species